UACGGAGGGUGCAAGCGUUAUCCGGAUUCACUGGGUUUAAAGGGUGCGUAGGCGGGCUUAUAAGUCAGUGGUGAAAGCCCGGAGCUUAACUUCGGAACUGCCAUUGAUACUGUAAGUCUUGAGUACACUUGAGGUGGGCGGAAUACAUCAUGUAGUGGUGAAAUACUUAGAUAUGAUGUAGAACACCGAUUGCGAAGGCAGCUCACUAAAUUGUAACUGACACUGAGGCACGAAAGCGUGGGGAUCAAACAGG
rnacentral:rRNA from 1 species